rnacentral:lncRNA from 1 species
UAUGUAUGUAUGUGUGUGUAUGUAUGCAGCUAAAAAAAGCAAAAAAACAACAAAAGUUAAUUAGAUGUACACAGUGAAUAUAUUAAAUUCGCGCUCAGUGAAAGUUUCUAAUGGAAAAAUAAGGGUGAAAAUGACGUUUCAAGCGUGGCUCUUCGUCGUAAAGGGGAAAAGUUCGGAGAGGAAGAAAUUAGUGGUAUUUCGUCUGUCUUUACGUUCUGAGUUCAAAUUCCGCCGAGGUUGACUUUGCCUUUCGUCCUUUCGGAGUCGAUAAAUUAAGUACCUGUUACGCACUGGGAUCGAUGUAAUUGACUGGCCCCCUCUCCCACCAAAAUUGCGGGCCUUGUGCCUAGAGUAGAAAAGAUUACAUAACUAAACAUAUAUAGAGAGAGACAUUGUAGAGACUGUCUCCUACAGCCAUUUUCCCAGCGAGACUUUAUCCCAUCAAAAACAACACGCAGCCACUUCCUAUAUUUACAUUAAUGAUGGCUGCCAAAGUCGAAGCCAAGCUGUCUUUGGCAUUGUUUAUGAUCUUCGCAAAUUAUAACGAGUCGAAGGUCUUUUAGUAUACAUGAGCGGAAGGACAAAAUCGGAUAAUGCUGUCUUGAAAACCUGCCAGACGACAACUGAAAAUCUCCUUCGCCAUUACAGAGCUUUCAUAUUUUUGUCUUACAUCCAUUUAUUUGUUACUGGCUUCAAUCAUUGGACUGCAGCCAUGUCGGGACAUUAUUACGUUGAAGGAUUCCAAUCGAACAAAUCCAAGCUAGUGUUUAUCGUAUCGGUUUCUUUUGCCGAACAAUAUUUGUUAUGGGGCCGACAACAAACCAACACUGGUUGUCAUGCGUUUGGGGUUGACAAACAUAAUACAAGACACACAGAGGUAUAUAUAUAUAUAUAUAUAUAUAUAUAUAUAUAUAUAUAUAUAUAUAUAUAUAUAUAUAUAUAUAUAUAUAUAUAUAUAUAUAUAUAUAUAUAUAUAUAUAUAUAUAUACAACAUGAUUCUUUCGGUUCCGUCUCCCAAAUCAACUCACAAGGCUUUGGUCGGCCAACGGCUAUAGCAGAAGACAUUUUGCCCAAGGUGUCACGUUGUGAGAUUGAACUCAAGACCACAUGGUUGAGAAGGAAGCUUCUUAACCACACAACCACACCUGCGCCUACAUCCAAAUAAUUUUCUUUCCUUUUUGUUUUGUUUUGGGGUAUUUUUUUAUUUCCCUUAUUUGGCUUGUUUUCAAUAUUCUAAGUGUAAUAAAGAGGUGAGCUGACAGAAUAGUUAGCACGCUGGACAAAAUGCUUAGCGGUAUUUCGUCUGCCGUUACGUUCUGAGUUCAAAUUCCACCGAGGUCAACUUUGCCUUUCAUCCUUUCGGGGUCGAUUAAAAAAGUACCAGUUAUGCACUGGGGUCGAUAUAAUCGACUUAAUCCGUUUGUCUUCUCUGUGUUUAGCCCUUUGUGGGUAAUACAGAAAUAGGUAUUUCGUCCGCCGUUACGUUCUGAGUUCAAAUUCUGCCGAGGUCAAUUUUGCCUUUCAUCCUAUCGGGGUCGAUAAAUUAAGUAUCAGUUACGCACUUGGGUCGAUAUAAUCGACUUAAUCCCUUUGUCUGUCCUUGUUUGUCCCCUCUGUAUUUAACCCCUUGUGGGUAGUAAAGAAAUAGGUCGACUUUACCUUUCAUUCUCUCGGGGGUCGAUAAAAUCAGUACCAGUUAAAUACUGAGGUCGAUCUAAUCGACUUACUCUUCUCCAAAAAUUUCAGGCGUGUUACCUAUAGUAGAAAGGAAUAUUAUUAUUAUUGCUUAAUCGAUUAAUGAAGUAAUCGAUUGCUUUCAUAAUCAUUUGACCAAUCAAUCGAUUGGCUCGUUAAAAACAAAAUUAUGCCGAGUGUCUGUCCUUUAUUUUAGUUUAUGAACAGAAAGGUGUGAUUUGACCUAAGUUUAGCUGUUAUUUCUAACAUGUUAAACGACCAUUUAUACGUUAAUUCGUCAAUUGAAGAAGAGAGUAGGUGGCGGUGGUAGUGGUGAGAGGUAGUGUAAAUAGAGAGAGGUGUUGGACAGAAGUGUGGCGAUGGUGGUGGCAGAAGCAGCGCAGCGGUGGCGAUGGUCGUAUGGUAAUGAUAGUGGUGGUGAGAGGUAAUGUUAUAUAGAGAGAGGUAGUGGUGAGAGGUGAUGUAAUAGAGAGAGAGAAGGUGGAUAGAAGUGUGGUGGUGGUGGUGGUGGUGGUAGUGGUGGUGGUGGUGGUGGGAGGUUGUGUGGUAGAGAGGGAUGUUAAAGAGUAAAAUGAGAAAGAGAGAAAGAAAGAGAAAAGGUGAUAUAACAGAAAAGAGAGAGAGAGAGUGAGAUGUUAUUGUAUAGCCCCAGGUUAGCUCCAAUUGAGCAGACGUUUCGAUGAUCAAAGGCAUUCCAGUCGCUGAAACCACAGAGAAAAGAGUUCCUGUGUGAAGGAAAUGCAGGACGUCAUUGAUUUUGAGGGCAAUUCAGCUACUAUUUCUAGCAGAUCGAGGGACUAUGCAGCGGCUCUCUUUAUCAGACAAAGUAGAGAGAAGGUAGUGGUAAAAGGUGUUGUAUUGAGAGAGAAAGAGAAGAGAGAGAGAGAGAGAGAGAGAGAGAGAAGCGUAGGAGACAGAGAGAGUUAGUAAAGGAGGGAGAAAGAGGACAAAGAGAUGGUAAUAAUAUGAAUUGUGGUGAAAGGUAGUUAGAGACACCGCGGCGUGGCGGUGAGAGAAAGUGUUGUUGAGAGAGAGAGAGAGAGAGAGAGGGGGGACAGGGGAGGGAUAGUAAAGAAGGGAUGAUGGUGGCAGGGUGUUGGGAGAAGGCAUGAAGGUGAGAGAGAGGGGUGAUGAAGAGGAGGUGUUGCACAGUGAGAGGGGGAGUAGUCGAGGAGGGCGACAUAGUAGAAAAAGAAGGAAAGAAAGAAUAGAUGCAAUAGGUAAAAAGAAAGAAAAGGAGAGAAGAGAAUAAGAGAGAGGGACAAAGAGAGAGAGAGAGAGAGAGAAAAAAGACAGAAAGAUAGAGAGAAAGAAAAGACAGAAAGAGAGAGAGAGAGAAAAGACAGAAAGAGAGAGAGAGAGAAAACGAGAGAAAGAUGUAGUAAUAGUAAAAGGCAGUCAGAGACGUGAGGGCGAUGACGGGGGCGGCAGUCGUGCCACAGUAGUGGUGGUGGUAGCGGAGAUGAAGGCAGUGGUGGUGGUGAUGGUGAUGAUGGUGGUGAUGGUGAUGAAGGCUGUGGUGGUGGUGGUGGUGGUGGUGGUGAUGGUGAUGGUGGUGAUAGGAGGUAAAGUAAAGAGUGUGUAUAAUGACAUAUAGCUGUGGAAUGUGACAUAGAAUGUUCUAGAUCAAUAGAUUCAACUAGAUAUUACUGUGUAUAUACGUGUGUGUGUGUGUGUGUGUGUGUGUGUGUGUGUGUGUGUGUAUGGUCGUGUGAGUGUGUGUGUGGUUGUCUGUGCGUAUCAUUAGGCUGUUAAUGGCUCUAUUUUUGACAAUAUUACUUCGCACAUAAACACAUACGUACAUGCAUACAUAUAUACAUACAUAUAUACAUACAUACAUUGAAGGCUUACACAUACAUACAUACGUACGUACGUACAUACAUACGUACAUACAUACAUACAUACAUACAUACAUACAUACAUACAUACAUACAUACAUACAUACAUACAUACAUACAUACAUACAUACAUACAUACAUAAAUAGAUAGAUACAUACAUACACACAUACUUACAUAUAUGACAUAUAUGCAUUACUUUACAUUUAGAUACGUAAGUGGAAGCUCCGCAACAUACACACACAUACACACACGCACAUACACACACAUAAACACAUACACACACACUUAAACAUUCGCAUCUACGCAAACACGCUUCCAUAGGUAUGUAUACAUAUAUAUAGAAACGUACAGGUUCACUAUCUCUCAUACACACACACAAACACACAUACUCACACACGGAUGUGCAUCAAUGCUAAUAUACGUACAUACAGACAGACGCACAUACAUACAUGUAGACAUACACACGUACACAAAUGCAAGCAGGUAUACAUACAUACAAGUGUACGUACAUACAUACAUACAUACAUUCACACACACACACACACACACACACACACACACAAGCACACAUACACUCAAACAUUCCCAUGUAUGCAAAUACCCAUAUAUACAUAUAUACAUAUAUACAUAUAUACAUUCGUAUGUAUAUAUAAAUAUAUAAAGAUAUUCGUGGCACACACAAACACAUACAUACAUACACAUGCAUUAUGCAGAAGCGUACAGGGUCAGUCUCAUACACACACACACACACACACACACACACACACACACACAUGUAUGUGUACUUACACAUAUUCAUGGACACACACAUACACACACACACACACAUGGCCCACUCUCGCCGCCCCCGCUCCAAUUCAUCCGAGUCUUUCGGGAAUAAUCAAUAUCACGUGACAUAUUGCAGUUGUGUAAAGACAGUGGUGGUGGUGGUGGUGGGAGAGAAGAUAGCGGUGGCGUCGGCGCUGGUGGUGGCGGUGGUGAUAGUGGUGGUGAUGAUGGCGAUGAUAGAGGUGGUGGCGAAGGUGGCGUUAAUGGCGUUUUGUGGUGAUAACGUUGGUGUUGGUGUUGAUGGUAGUGAUAGUAGUGAUGGGGGCUGAUAUUGGUGAUGGCCACUCUAGCCGUCGUCGUCGUCGUCGUCGAUAACGUGGUCGUUGUAGUGUGGUGGUGGUGGUGGUGUAGAGGAAGAAUCGAUGUUGGGUAUUUUUGGUGGUUAUUGUACAGUGGUAUUCCGACGUGGCGGUGUUGCUGGCGUUGCAGCGAGGUUGCGUGAAAUUGGCGGUGGCGAAGCUGGUGGUGGUGAUGGUGGUGGUGGUGGUGGCGGCGGCGGUGGCGGCAAUGGUGGUGGUGGUGGUGAUAAUGAUGGUGGUGGUGAUGGUAGUGAUGGUGGUGAUGGUGCUGGUGCUUGUGGCGAAGGCGGCGAAGGCGGCGAUGGUGAUAAUGCUAGUGGUGGUGCUGGUGCUGGUGCAGGUGCUGGUGCUGGUGCUGGUGCUGGUGGUGGUGGUGGUUCUGGUGGUGGUGGUGCUGGUGGUGGCGGCGGCGGCGGCGGCGGCGAUGGUGGUGAUGCUAGUGGUGGUGCUGGUGGUGGUGGUGCUGGUGGUGGUGGUGCUGGUGCUGGAGGUGGUGGUGCUGGUGGUGGUGGUGCUGGUGGUGGCGGCAGCGGCGAUGGUGGUGGUUAUGAUGAUGAUGAGAAAGAUGGGGGGGAUUAUGAGGGUUGGGGAGAAGAAUAUUUUACAAGAGGGUAGGAGGAGGAGGAGGAGGAGGAUACUUAUAACAAAUCACUUCAUAGUCGAGAUACAAUGUUUUUUAACUUGCGUACUCUCGAAUGCAAACUCUCGCGCUUAAAAUAUUUUCCUGCAAAUCUGAUUACGGCAACCCUAAAACCUGAUUAUUUUCGUUAUUAUACCAACGUGUUACGGAACAUUGUCACCUUUUUUCUGAAUGACAAAGAUGAUUAAAGCAACGCCGAAGUAACAACACAUAUUUUCAUUCGAAAAGACACAUACAUACAUACAUGUUUCACGUGCAAUUAUUGGGGACCUGGGAUAUGCAACACACUGUCUAAGUACCAAUCUUGAGAAAUUAGGUUUCUCAAAACCAGAAAGGAGAAAGCUACUUCGAAGACUACAGAUCGAAUCCAUCACUGGAACUGUAAAAAUCUGUAAAACUUUCCAGAAGUUUCUCAUUUAAAUAUAUAUGAACAUGUCUAGAUAUGCAAAUAUAUGCAUGAGAAUACAUACAUAAAUGAUGCAAAUUUGCACAUACAUACAUACAUACAUACAUACAUACAUACAUACAUACAUACAUACAUACAUACAUACAUACAUACAUAAACAUACAAAAAUAUCCUGUUGAUGUUGAAAUUCCAGUGAAAGAGAUUUCAUCUAGGUUAGAAACCAGUUCUUACUCUAUUGGCAAGGAAUCUUUAAAUAAACUGAAUAAUGAUACACAUACAUACAUACAUACAUACAUACAUACAUACAUACAUACAUACAUACAUACAUACAUACAUACAUAUAUACAUACAUACAUACAAAAAUACUCUGUUGUUGAUGUUGAAAUUCCAAUGAAGGAGUCUUGGAUCUUGGUUAGAAACCAGUUCUUUCUCUAUUGGCAAGAAAUCUUGAAAUAAACUGAAUAAUGACAUACAUACAUACAUACAUACAUACAUACAUACAUACAUACAUACAUACAGUACCUAUUUCUUUACUGGCCACAAGGGGCUAAACACAGAGGUGACAAACAAGGACAGACAAACGGAUUAAGUCGAUUACAUUGACCCCAGUGGGUAACUAGUCCUUAAUUUAUCGACUCCGAAAGGAUGAAAGGCAAAGUCGACCUAGGCAGAAUUUGAACUCAGAACGUAACGGCAGACGAAAUAUACGGCUACGCAUUUCGCCCGGCGUGCUAACGAUUCUGCCAGCUCGCCGGAUUUACCAUUGUACUUGGGUGUGCUUAAGCACAGGGUCCUGUUGACCAGGGGGCACUGUAAGGAGCCCCUGGUCAACGGCGCACCUAUCCAAGUAAGGGGCCUCACAAAUUAACUAGAAUAUGGCCUCAUUUGUCCUAAAUCCGACACUACAUACAUACAUUCAUACAAACAUACAUGUAGACAUAGAACCAGACAGACAAACAGACAGCACUUAGCAACAAAAGCAAGGCAUUCAUUCAUAACAAAUGCGUGGACUUGAAAAUAAUCACAUACGUAUAUAAACGCGCAGACAGACUUCCCUCGAAACAAACUACCGAAAUAACUUCGUUUAAAAUGUCAGCUGAAUCUACGCUUUAGUUUUACGUUUCGCAAUUAUAUUUUUACUCUUUGCCGGGCGAAAUGCUUAGCGGUAUUUUCGUCUGCCGUUACGUUCUGAGUUCAAAUUCCGCCGAGGUCGACUUUGCCUUUCAUCCUUUCGGAGUCGAUAAAUUAAGCACCAGUUACGCACUUGGGUCGAUAUAAUCGACUUAAUCCCUUUGUCUGUCCAUGUUUGUCCCCUCUGUGUUUAGCCCCUUGUGGGUAAUAAAGAAAUAGGUAUUUCGUCUGCCGUUACGUUCUGAGUUCAAAUUCCGCCGAGGUCGACUUUGCUUUUCAUCCUUUCGGGGUCGAUAAAUUAAGUACCAGUUACGCACUGGGGUCGAUCUAAUCGACUUAAUCCGUUUGUCUGUCCUUGUUUGUCCCUUCUGUGUUUAGCCCCUUGUGGGUAAUAAAGAAAUAGGUAUUUCGUCUGCCGUUACGUUCUGAGUUCAAAUUCCGCCGAGGUCGACUUUGCCUUUCAUCUUUUCGGGGUCGAUAAAUUAAGCACCAGUUACCCACUGGGGGUCGAUAUAAUCGACUUAAUCCCUUUGUCUGUCCUUGUUUGUCCCCUCUAUGUUUAGCCCCUUGUGGAUAGUAAAGAAAUAGGUAUUUCGUCUGCCGUUACGUUCUGAGUUCAAAUUCCGCCGAGGUUGACUUUGCCUUUCAUCCUUUCGGAGUCGAUAGAUAAAGUACCAGUUACGCACUGGGGUCAAUGUAAUCGACUUAAUACAUAUGCCUGUCCUUGUUUGUCCCCACUGUGUUUAGCCCCUUGUGGGUAGUAAAGAAAUAGGUAUUUCGUCUUCCGUUACGUCCUGAGUUCAAAUUCCGCCGAGGUCGACUUUGCCUUUCAUCCUUUCGGAGUCGAUAAAUUAAGCACCAGUUACGCACUUGGGUCGAUAUAAUCGACUUAAUCCCUUUGUCUGUCCAUGUUUGUCCCCUCUGUGUUUAGCCCCUUGUGGGUAAUAAAGAAAUAGGUAUUUCGUCUGCCGUUACGUUCUGAGUUCAAAUUCCGCCGAGGUCGACUUUGCUUUUCAUCCUUUCGGGGUCGAUAAAUUAAGUACCAGUUACGCACUGGGGUCGAUCUAAUCGACUUAAUCCGUUUGUCUGUCCUUGUUUGUCCCUUCUGUGUUUAGCCCCUUGUGGGUAAUAAAGAAAUAGGUAUUUCGUCUGCCGUUACGUUCUGAGUUCAAAUUCCGCCGAGGUCGACUUUGCCUUUCAUCUUUUCGGGGUCGAUAAAUUAAGCACCAGUUACGCACUGGGGGUCGAUAUAAUCGACUUAAUCCCUUUGUCUGUCCUUGCUUGUCCCCUCUAUGUUUAGCCCCUUGUGGAUAGUAAAGAAAUAGGUAUUUCGUCUGCCGUUACGUUCUGAGUUCAAAUUCCGCCGAGGUUGACUUUGCCUUUCAUCCUUUCGGAGUCGAUAGAUAAAGUACCAGUUACGCACUGGGGUCAAUGUAAUCGACUUAAUACAUAUGCCUGUCCUUGUUUGUCCCCACUGUGUUUAGCCCCUUGUGGGUAGUAAAGAAAUAGGUAUUUCGUCUGCCAUUAUGUUCUGAGUUCAAAUUCCGCCGAGGUCGACUUUUCCUUUCAUCCUUUCGGGGUCGAUAAAUUAAGUACCUGUUACACACUGGGGUCGAUGUAAUCGACUUAAUCCCUUUGUAUGGCCUUGUUUGUCACCUCUAUGUUUAGCCCCUUGUGGCAAUAAAGAAAUAUAUAUUUUUACUCUUUUAUUUUUUCACUUGUUUCAGUCAUUUGACUACGGCCAUGCUGGAGCACCGCCUUAAUUUGUCAAAUUUAUGAAUGUAAAUUAUUAUACUUAUGCGUUCGUUAAUAUAUAUCCAGAAACAGACAGACAGACAGAGAAAGGAAGAGAUAGAGCGAGUGUAUGAGAGAGAAAUAUAUAUAUAUAUACGAUUGCAUAUACAUGCUUGUGUGUGUGUGUCUGUGUGUGUGUACAAACUCACAUACGUGUCUAUUUUUGCAUCUUUAAUUAAUAUUUUGCCUUUGUUUUGCUUGUUUCCAGGAAGUAUGGAGAGGACUCUAUGAUAUGAUACAGAGCUGGGUCUCACAAUACCGAUCAUCGACACACAGCGCCGACAAGCAAGCAAAUCACCAUACAUA